AAAUUGAAGAGUUUGAUCAUGGCUCAGAUUGAACGCUGGCGGCAGGCCUAACACAUGCAAGUCGAACGGUAACAGGAAGCAGCUUGCUGCUUCGCUGACGAGUGGCGGACGGGUGAGUAAUGUCUGGGAAACUGCCUGAUGGAGGGGGAUAACUACUGGAAACGGUGGCUAAUACCGCAUAACGUCGCAAGACCAAAGAGGGGGACCUUCGGGCCUCUUGCCAUCAGAUGUGCCCAGAUGGGAUUAGCUUGUUGGUGAGGUAACGGCUCACCAAGGCGACGAUCCCUAGCUGGUCUGAGAGGAUGACCAGCCACACUGGAACUGAGACACGGUCCAGACUCCUACGGGAGGCAGCAGUGGGGAAUAUUGCACAAUGGGCGCAAGCCUGAUGCAGCCAUGCCGCGUGUAUGAAGAAGGCCUUCGGGUUGUAAAGUACUUUCAGCGGGGAGGAAGGUGUUGUGGUUAAUAACCGCAGCAAUUGACGUUACCCGCAGAAGAAGCACCGGCUAACUCCGUGCCAGCAGCCGCGGUAAUACGGAGGGUGCAAGCGUUAAUCGGAAUUUACUGGGCGUAAAGCGCACGCAGGCGGUCUGUCAAGUCGGAUGUGAAAUCCCCGGGCUCAACCUGGGAACUGCAUUCGAAACUGGCAGGCUUGAGUCUUGUAGAGGGGGGUAGAAUUCCAGGUGUAGCGGUGAAAUGCGUAGAGAUCUGGAGGAAUACCGGUGGCGAAGGCGGCCCCCUGGACAAAGACUGACGCUCAGGUGCGAAAGCGUGGGGAGCAAACAGGAUUAGAUACCCUGGUAGUCCACGCCGUAAACGAUGUCUACUUGGAGGUUGUGCCCUUGAGGCGUGGCUUCCGGAGCUAACGCGUUAAGUAGACCGCCUGGGGAGUACGGCCGCAAGGUUAAAACUCAAAUGAAUUGACGGGGGCCCGCACAAGCGGUGGAGCAUGUGGUUUAAUUCGAUGCAACGCGAAGAACCUUACCUGGUCUUGACAUCCACAGAAGAAUCCAGAGAUGGAUUUGUGCCUUCGGGAACUGUGAGACAGGUGCUGCAUGGCUGUCGUCAGCUCGUGUUGUGAAAUGUUGGGUUAAGUCCCGCAACGAGCGCAACCCUUAUCCUUUGUUGCCAGCGAUUAGGUCGGGAACUCAAAGGAGACUGCCAGUGAUAAACUGGAGGAAGGUGGGGAUGACGUCAAGUCAUCAUGGCCCUUACGACCAGGGCUACACACGUGCUACAAUGGCGCAUACAAAGAGAAGCGACCUCGCGAGAGCAAGCGGACCUCAUAAAGUGCGUCGUAGUCCGGAUUGGAGUCUGCAACUCGACUCCAUGAAGUCGGAAUCGCUAGUAAUCGUGGAUCAGAAUGCCACGGUGAAUACGUUCCCCGGGCCUUGUACACACCGCCCGUCACACCAUGGGAGUGGGUUGCAAAAGAAGUAGGUAGCUUAACCUUCGGGAGGGCGCUUACCACUUUGUGAUUCAUGACUGGGGUGAAGUCGUAACAAGGUAACCGUAGGGGAACCUGCGGUUGGAUCACCUCCUUA
rnacentral:rRNA from 1 species